rnacentral:lncRNA from 1 species
AUUACUUCCGCCGUCAUGGCGGCGCCCUGGCCACGUGACCUCCCCGGUGGGAGUACCCCGCUCACGUCAGCGGCCUCCAGGGUUGCUCCAGCCGCGAAUCCCGCUGCCCUUUGCCCCGCGGGCCUCCCAAGGCAGCCCCCUGUUAGCCCGACCGGCUUCGAAGCCCGCGCCGGUUGCGGAUCCUCCGCCGCGCCCACCUGUCAGCGCCUCGGCCGGCCGGGGCUCCCGCCGCAUGCAAGCAGCGAGGCGAGGUCGCGCUGAGGCCUGGCCAUGCCACGGACGGCCGGGCCUCACCCUGCCGCUCUCUCGCCGUCCAGAGGCCCCUGCUCCACACCUGGGUACCCUGGGUCCUGACUCAGGGCAGCUGGGUGAGAAGCUAACGGCUUGAAGGAACAGGGCUACAAGGGGAGUUUGUGCUGGGCCUGGCGUCCCAGGCUGUGGACUGGAACUGGACAUGAGAACCCCCCCUACACCCUCCCAAGUCAAAGACACUCCAAAAAGACAGUUUCUCCACUUU